CACGUAGGGCGCAAGCGUUGUCCGGAAUUAUUGGGCGUAAAGAGCUCGUAGGCGGUCUGUUACGUCUGCUGUGAAAACCCAGGGCUUAACCCUGGGCUUGCAGUGGAUACGGGCAGACUAGAGGCAGGUAGGGGAGAAUGGAAUUCCCGGUGUAGCGGUGAAAUGCGCAGAUAUCAGGAGGAACACCAAUUGCGAAGGCAGCUCGCUGGGACGUAACUGACGCUGAGACGCGAAAGCGUGGGGAGCAAACAGG
rnacentral:rRNA from 1 species